rnacentral:tRNA from 2 species
GCCCUUGUAGCUCAACGGACAGAGCACUCCCCUUCUAAGGGAGGAAUGGCAGUUCGAUUCUGCCCAAGGGCACCA